CAGCAGCAGUUACAUGAGUUCCUGUUUUUUGAGAGGGAGUGCUUCAUAUGUAAAAUGGAGCUUGAGGAAGAGCAGAUGCCUGCUGAUGGCUAAGCCACUCAUGGUUUAAAUUAUCAGUUUAUUGAAGCCUGAAUCUCUUCCAAGGUCUUGCCUUUUGUCUCUCGCACGUUC